AGAUCCAGGUUCCAUCUAUCAAGAUCUAGGUUUCAUCUUUCAACUCUUAUAGUCUAAGGGUCUGAGGCUCAAUCUAGUGGUUCGGCUAAGCAGUAGAUCUUUCCAGAAGUGCAGAGUUCAGUUGGUGAGUCUUCUAUGUUUCAGAAGGCCUGUUUAAAUUUCAGACAUUUAUUUAUGGUUUUGGUCUACUAGGGGCCUUGUCCCAGUUUUCAGACAUCUUUGUUUCAUAUGUAGUAGAGGUUUCGCAGACGGAGUCAGAUAUUAUUUUAGAUGUUGAAUUGCAGUCUUUAAUAUUUUGUUGAUUUCA